UUUGGUUUAUGAUGGAAAGUGAACUGGUAAAAAGGGAUACAGUUUUUAUUUUCACUUUAAAUGCGAUGUUAUAAAGUGAACUGGGUUAAUCUGGUGGUCGGACCGGCUUUUUGGGUUUUAACUUUAAGGAGUGGAAUCAUGUCACAUGGACGGACGGACACGCGGAGACACGAGAUUACUUUAUGUUGGCUCUGUAAGCGAGUUUGUGCAACAGACGCGCGUUUGUGUGCGUUGUUACUGCUUUAUAUCGAAGAAGAUUCUUCUAUUCUGUGUAAGUACUGAAGGUAUCAACCAAUGGGAACUAACCACGUGGCGUGACGACUUAGUUUGUUUUUUACUGAGAAAUUUCCGACAGAACGCAAAUUUGAAAGUGAGUUCGAUUGUUCGAAAUUUUCUUCUUUUCCAGCAUUAGAGUUAGAGGUGUUUUGGAGCGCGAUUUUUCAUCAGCUUGAUGAGGGAAAUAUCGGGUAAAUGAUCGAAGAUGUACGCUUUUUGCUUUGGUUCAGAGGAUUGGUAAUUGCACACAAGCUGCUCGAUAGAAUGUGUAACCAAAGUUAAGGAUUGAAAUUUAUGUUCUCAUCUGGUUUAUUUAUUGGCUUGGGCUGGUGAUGGAAUUGGAGAAGAGUUUGAGUCUAUACCCACUUGGUUUUCAGUAGUAUACGCUGGUAUAGAUUCAGAAACGCUAUUUGCUGGGAAUAUGGAAUAAGAUGAUGGGAAUGUUGUGGGUAACAUUAAGCGUCUGCGUUGCGUUACAUGUUGACAUCUGAGACCUCAAUUUACUAGCUCAUUGUCUAAUUAAAAGAUCAAAAACUUUGCUUGAGCCUUCUUCAGUUUUGGUUUGGAACUUGUCAAGUGAACGUGAUGGAAGAAGAGCUUGGUUGCCCCAGCCAGACUCCAAUUUUGCUUCUUGAGGAGUUCUGGUGUUGGUGUUCCCACUGACAUUCAGGAAGGAUUGGUUCAAAAACUUCAUUUGCAAGAGUGGUGACAUUUGUGAACUGAUCAUCCCAGGAAUAAACUAGUAUAGCUGAAUCAGACAUGGCUGUUAUUUUCUUUAUAAAGGGAAACACAAGAAGAAGACAAGUUUUAAGCAAAAA